AACGAACGCUGGCGGCAUGCCUAACACAUGCAAGUCGAACGAGACCUUCGGGUCUAGUGGCGCACGGGUGCGUAACGCGUGGGAACCUGCCCUUAGGUUCGGAAUAACUCCCCGAAAGGGGUGCUAAUACCGGAUAAUGUCUUCGGACCAAAGAUGUAUCGCCUUUGGAUGGGCCCGCGUUGGAUUAGCUAGUUGGUAGGGUAAAAGCCUACCAAGGCGACGAUCCAUAGCUGGUCUGAGAGGAUGACCAGCCACACUGGGACUGAGACACGGCCCAGACUCCUACGCGAGGCAGCAGUAGGGAAUAUUGGACGAGGGGCGAAAGCCUGAUACAGCAGUGCCGCGUGAGUGAUGAAGGCCUUAGGGUUGUAAAGCUCUUUUACCCGGGAUGAUAAUGACAGUACCGGGAGAAUAAGCUCCGGCUAACUCCGUG
rnacentral:rRNA from 1 species